UCUCCAGCUUAAGGCUAAUGGCUAGAAGAGUGAUCUCCUCAUCAUGCUCCUAAUCCAAUCUUUCUUGGUCCAGAGGAAGAGUGUACUUUUUCCCAAACCAGCUAGCAAGCGAGUAAUUAUCAACCACCGACUGUGCAGCGAGAACUUAUUCUCUUGUAUGAGCUGGUUGAGGAAUGGGAACAGUUUCCUAUUUGGCUGCUUUCUCAGGAAUUGCAAGCUCUGCCGUGGAGGUGGGGGAGGAGUCAAUGUGAAUUAUUUCUUGGCCAAGAGCGAAGAAGUCAGUGGACUCUCAUCCUAAGUCAAUUAGCAGAAGAAUCAUAUGCUUCGCUCAAUGCUUGCUUUUCCCUUUCUUUUCCUUGAUAAGUGCACUAACAUCCUUCCUCUGCAUGCUUGACAUUUCUGCAUGAAUAGAAAAAUCUUAAUAGGUAAAAUUGUAUGAGAGUCGAAGUAAAAGAAUUUUACCAUCUAUGGGAAAGUUAUUGUAAUGAUCAGGUGCCAUAGAAUAACUAGAGACAUUAGUGGCAUACCGCCAAUCUGAUUCUAUUUAGAUCAGUUGG
rnacentral:misc_RNA from 1 species